rnacentral:misc_RNA from 1 species
GAACGCACAUUGCGCCCGCUAGUAUUCUGGCGGGCAUGCCUGUUCGAGCGUCAUUUCAACCAUCAAGCCCUAGGCUUGUGUUGGGGCCCUGCGGCCGUCCGCAGCCCCCUAAAACCAGUGGCGGGCUCGCUAGUCACUCCGAGCGUAGUAGUUUACACCUCGCUCAGGGCGUGCUGCGGGUUCCGGCCGUUAAAAGCCUUAUUUUACCCAAGGUUGACCUCGGAUCAGGUAGGAAGACCCGCUGAACUUAAG